ensembl:lncRNA
GCUCAGGUGGAUGGACAGCUUUUCCAGUAAAGAUCUCAAAGUUCUGUGGAAUACCAUCUGAGCCAGCGAGGAUUAGUAUUCUGUAGCCCCACUUCUGUGGCUUACAGUGUAGAUACUGUUUCAGCUAAUUCUUAAAUUUGAAAGGAUUUGAGCAUUUGCUCAUCCAUGCUACGAAUGCUGUUUAUCUUGGCAACAAGCAUGCCGGAUGUGCGCUAAUUUGUGCCCACCCCGAGGGAAGUGGAACAAUGAGGUGGACCUGAUACGUAAUGCAGCGCCAAGUUUUGUGGAUGACACAGUGCGCUACUGAAGACACCUGGUCCACCUGAAGGGGUGGCAGGGAGCCCACCCCAGGGAACUUGGGGCACAAGGCAGGGGACACCUCUGGAUGGGGUGCCAACCCAUCGCAGGGCAUAUUCACACACCCUCAUUUAGAUAUGCCAAUGCCUACAAUGCAUGUCUUUG